GUUUGGCAUGCAAACAGCAGCUGUUAACCUAACAGAGAAAACCUGAAAUGUCAGCUAUUGUGCCACUGUAUUGGCUGCUCUGGGAACUGUGAUCUAAUUUGAUAGAACAAAGCAUCAUUCACUGAAUCCAUUCUUCUCAAAAUAUGGCCAGGAUUCAGAAACCGAGCUUCUUGGUAGCCUUUGACCAUAUUGGAGUGACCACCUGGGGCCUGUGAGGCAAGGCCAUUAAAACAUGGCAGAUGCUUCAAGACCUGAUUCAGAGGAUCACAGAGGAUGACUUGGAUUCUAUCGAUCCUAUACCUGAGGAUAUCCCUGAAGGUUUAUGGUCAAAGUCUUCCACAGAUGAAGGUCUAUUUAAAUCAGCUACUCCUGUAAGGAUUAAGGAAGGACCAGUUCCUUGUGUACCUCAAUAUCCCUUAACUAUCGAAUAAACAGAGGGUAUCAGACCA
rnacentral:lncRNA from 1 species